rnacentral:misc_RNA from 1 species
GAUGAAGAACGUAGCGAAAUGCGGUAAGUAAUGUGAAUUGCAGAAUUCAGUGAAUCAUCGAAUCUUUGAACGCACAUUGCGCCCCCUGGAAUUCCGGGGGGCAUGCCUGUUCGAGCGUCUCAGGGACGAACCCUCGCGCGGGUGUACGCGCGGUCGUGGCUGCGGUGGCGUGCCCGAGGCGGCGGCCACCGCGCUGGAAUCCAUGGGCGGACGCCUGCCGCGUGGCCGAGCGUGAUAUGACGCAUUGGCGCUCGCACGCGGCGAGGCUGCCAGCCCUGGCCCGUCUGUCGGGCGGGGGAGAGCAAGACACGUGAACUCCUCGAAUCAGGUAGGGAUACCCGCUGAACUUAAGCAUAUCAAUAAGCGGAGGA